UUUACUACGUUGAAAGACUGCUAAAAUUAAUCAAAGUCCAAAGUUGUUGAAAUUUUGGCCGAGUGUUGGAGCAGGCUGAAGUCAAGCCGGUACUUGGCUGCCGCGCGGGCUGUUUUAGAGUGACACAAAACGAGCCCGUGACAAUUGGUAUCAGAGCCAGGUUGAGAGCUGAUCAGGUUUGUGGCGGAGACGCGACGGGUGAUGGCAGAUCUCGUGGUCUUGUUCGAGAACAUGGCCGGUGGUAACAAUGAACUGCGAGAAAGGCUAACGAAACUGGAAACAUUGGAGGGAAAUGCUGUUGAAGGCAAAGAACUUAAGCCUCUUAUGAGUAGACUUGCAUUUGUUGAGGCAGAAAUGGCAAGGAGGUGAGUGAACGCAGAUGUGAAGACACGAAGAGAGAGAGAGAGAGGUGGUCAAGGGGCGUUGCUUGUCACUUGGGGCUCAUAAAUUGAGUUAACCUCGACGAGGACGUCGAGUUUCAAAGAGUGUGGGUGG
rnacentral:lncRNA from 1 species